rnacentral:rRNA from 1 species
AGUGGCGAACGGGUGAGUAACACGUGGGCAACCUGCCCAAAAGAGGGGGAUAACACUUGGAAACAGGUGCUAAUACCGCAUAACCAUAGUUACCGCAUGGUAACUAUGUAAAAGGUGGCUAUGCUACCGCUUUUGGAUGGGCCCGCGGCGCAUUAGCUAGUUGGUGGGGUAAAGGCUUACCAAGGCAAUGAUGCGUAGCCNAACUGAGAGGUUGAUCGGCCACAUUGGGACUGAGAUACGGCCCAGACUCCUACGGGAGGCAGCAGUCGGGAAUAUUGCGCAAUGGAGGGAACUCUGACGCAGUGACGCCGCGUAUAGGAAGAAGGUUUUCGGAUUGUAAACUAUUGUCGUUAGGGAAGAAAAAAGACAGUACCUAAGGAGGAAGCCCCGGCUAACUAUGUGCCAGCAGCCGCGGUAAUACAUAGGGGGCAAGCGUUAUCCGGAUUUAUUGGGCGUAAAGAGAACGCAGGCGGUCUUUUAAGUCUGAUGUGAAAGCCUUCGGCUUAACCGGAGUAGUGCAUUGGAAACUGGGAGACUUGAGUGCAGAAGAGGAGAGUGGAACUCCAUGUGUAGCGGUGAAAUGCGUAGAUAUAUGGAAGAACACCAGCGGCGAAAGCGGCUCUCUGGUCUGUAACUGACGCUNAGGUUCGAAAGCGUGGGUAGCAAACAGGAUUAGAUACCCUGGUA